rnacentral:rRNA from 1 species
GGGCGUACUAAUACAUGCAAGUCGAGCGGACAGAUGGGAGCUUGCUCCCUGAUGUUAGCGGCGGACGGGUGAGUAACACGUGGGUAACCUGCCUGUAAGACUGGGAUAACUCCGGGAAACCGGGGCUAAUACCGGAUGGUUGUUUGAACCGCAUGGUUCAAACAUAAAAGGUGGCUUCGGCUACCACUUACAGAUGGACCCGCGGCGCAUUAGCUAGUUGGUGAGGUAACGGCUCACCAAGGCAACGAUGCGUAGCCGACCUGAGAGGGUGAUCGGCCACACUGGGACUGAGACACGGCCCAGACUCCUACGGGAGGCAGCAGUAGGGAAUCUUCCGCAAUGGACGAAAGUCUGACGGAGCAACGCCGCGUGAGUGAUGAAGGUUUUCGGAUCGUAAAGCUCUGUUGUUAGGGAAGAACAAGUACCGUUCGAAUAGGGCGGUACCUUGACGGUACCUAACCAGAAAGCCACGGCUAACUACGUGCCAGCAGCCGCGGUAAUACGUAGGUGGCAAGCGUUGUCCGGAAUUAUUGGGCGUAAAGGGCUCGCAGGCGGUUUCUUAAGUCUGAUGUGAAAGCCCCCGGCUCAACCGGGGAGGGUCAUUGGAAACUGGGGAACUUGAGUGCAGAAGAGGAGAGUGGAAUUCCACGUGUAGCGGUGAAAUGCGUAGAGAUGUGGAGGAACACCAGUGGCGAAGGCGACUCUCUGGUCUGUAACUGACGCUGAGGAGCGAAAGCGUGGGGAGCGAACAGGAUUAGAUACCCUGGUAGUCCA